AGUUAGGUAUAUGUUUGUCAGCCUUAGGCACCAGAUCCCAUCUGAUCUAAGAAGCUAAGCUGAAUCAGUCCUGGCUAUUACUUGGAUAGGAGACCACCAAUGAAUGCCAAGUACCAUAGGUU
rnacentral:rRNA from 1 species